rnacentral:rRNA from 1 species
UACAGAGGGUGCAAGCGUUAAUCGGAAUUACUGGGCGUAAAGCGUGCGUAGACGGUUAUGUAAGUCAGGUGUGAAGCCUCGGCUCAACCUGGGAAUGCCAUUUGAGACUGCAUAGCUAGGGUACGGAAGAGGGAAGCGGAAUUUCAGGUGUAGCGGUGAAAUGCGUAGAUAUCUGAAGGAACACCAGUGGCGAAAGCGGCUUCCUGGUCCCAGUACCGACGUUCAGGCACGAAAGCGUGGGGAGCAAACAGG